UUGUUACAUGCUCCCGUGUAUUUCGAAUUGUGCGCAGAUGAUGAGAGUACUGAAUGUGAUAACGGAUCAUGUUGCGACUGUAUCGUAUGUAGAACAUUGUGCUCGUUCGUGACACCCAGUACGUUUGAUAACCUUGUCGCGUUGCCGCAAGUCACUUGUUCGAGAAUAUUCGCUCGGGAAUGCUGUCUCUGCGUACGUACUCUCGUCGAGCGUGCUCGAGCGCUUCAUUGCGCAGUAAAACGUCGUGGAUGUGUCGAGUGAUACGUGAAUAGACAUCGUCCGAUAUUCGUUGACUCUGUUAGAUAUAAAAGCCGGAUCGUCUCGCCUCUAACAGUGCAAAUAAUGUGUUGUACGUACGCUUUUAUUCAACGGCUCUCUUCUUCGAUCAACGUAUUGAUACUCGGAGUGCGUGACGUCACGUGUUUACUGCUCUUGUUUGGCCGGUAUCGUCACUCGCUUUUGGUGGGGUUUUCCGCAGUUUUUGUGUUUUUCGAGUGCAUAUUGUGUACAAAUACGGUGUCAAAAGUGACGAGAGCAAUAGCAGACGAUCGUCUCAACAUGCAAGUAGAGCAAAAUAGAAAUAAUCGCGUUUCUAGUAUGUUCUUUAGUUAAAGUUAGCACCUGUUGCGUUGCAAUAUGUUACUUUCGCGCGUGUUUCUUAUUUGAUUCGCGUUCGUGUUCAUAUGCAAUAUUUAAACAAUGCCGAAUAAAGAAUCGAGCGGUUAUUAACGUGUGAUUCAAGACGAACAACCAAAUGAGAUGUCAGCAGAAGACGACAACCAUGGAGUAACUUGAAUUUGCAGAAAAGAAAUGCAGUAACAGCAACAGCGGUAACAACAACAACAAUUGAUCGAGAUAUUCUUCGAAUCGACGAUCGUGCUGGAACUAUGCUGCUUUAUACCUACAUCGUUUCGAUAUUUCUGAAGAUAAAAAUCCAAUGACGACAGGAAGCGAAUCCAUCGUCGCCGAUUUAUAAUAAAAUAAAUGAACCGCAGCCGGUUCGUCGCGUCGCGCGUAUUUUCCGGGAGUGUCGAUUAAGUUAUCGGACUAAUAGACUUUUCAUAACUCCCAUUCGAUAGAAUCCUAGUUCGAGGGCCGGAAAUCGCACCCCCGCUGCUUGGCAGUGGAUAUCUCCUCUCUGGGGCGUUGCGCAUGGUGGCUAAGAAAGACGGCGCACCGCGACGUUCCAUGCCGAGUGCCCGUGCACGAGGUAAUGCCGGGCCGCAUGUACGACAUGCCCCGUGUGCAUGUUGCGCGGCUGUCUGGUUGUGUGAGGUUACACGCUCUGUCUCUGACGAUCGGUUCGGUCCUAAGCGGUAAGAGUUCGGAUCAGUUGCCUUGGAUUCGCACGUUUCUCUUGCUCUCGUCCACCAUCCUAAGGCUUUCUUAGAUCCUUGAUACCAUUUUUGGAUUCUUUGGAUCUGGGGUUCGAGCUAGGUGAAUCACGUUUAAUCUGACUUGGUCAGAACUUGGCCUUGUAGGUUAAGCUUGUGACGAGAGGCUGGCUCUCAUUUCCUGAUUCGUCUAAAAUGCUAGACGUCGGCAAUGAGUACCUUCUUCUCUCGUCCUGCCGGAGUGUCUUGUCGACGCCGCUUGGAUAUAAGAUCCAGUGGGACUGAUCUUGAUGAUCCGUUGGCUGGGCGUAUGAACGAGUCAAUUUUAGACGUAAUUUUUGUGAGACAAGAGGCUUCGGAUUCAAUACCAUUGAUUUCGUUUUCUUCCGCGUGGGGCUUACCCUUUUUCGGGGGCGGGUACGCGUGCGUCCUACUCGCCGACUCGGGGUGCUGAAGUCACGGGAAUCCCUCUGAAUGGGAAUUUAUAUCAUGGGUUUUAUAAACCCGAAGUGCCGCAGUAUAUUCGCGCGAAAGACUUUUUUAGACUUAAUUAGUCCACGGGCGCAAUUUUAGUACAUUAUUAUUCGCGAGUGUUUUUUGCGAGUGUUUUUCGCGAGUGUGUAUUGUUCAACGGAAGAAGGAGGCUUGACAACCCGGACAUCUUGAGGAAGAGGUAGAGGAGGAGGAGGUCUAGGAUAGGCAUCGGGCCCCGGCGGAGCAACUUUGGAUUCAACGCAGCUUGUAACGUGAUUUACUCCGCUGUUGCGCGUCGUAUUGAUUAAAUUGCAGAAUCUGAGAGAAGGUGGCUGAGUAACUCCGCUCGUUGCGCAUCGGGUCGGUGAGUCACGCAUUAAUUUUCUUAUUAUAUUUCAAUAUUUUACAAAUGUCCUGCGCGGGAUAAAAAAAGUGUAUAACGAGAAGAAGUAAUUGUGAUAAAAAUUUUAAUAGAAUUGUGAUAAUUCCUGGAAAAUUCUGGGGAUAAAUUUACAAAUUUUGAGGUGGACACCAUGUACAAUUAUAUUUUUAGUUAUACAUUUUUUAAUAAUUUUAAUGAAUAUUGAGAUGAAUAAAAAUUGCAAUGCAAGAUUUUUUUAGAAGAAAUAAUAUUAAAUGUUAAAGGACGAUUAGUGCUACAAAGUGAAAAGAAUAAAAGAAUAUGAAGUUACAAAAUUAUAAAUUAACAAGGUGUGGCUUUCGCGGGCGUAUAUCACACCAAAUUAUCACGUCAAAGUUUA